AAGUCGUAACAAGGUUUCCGUAGGUGAACCUGCGGGAAGGGAUCAUUAACUGAGUUAGGGUCUUUCAUGGCCCGACCUCCAAUCCCUUGUGGUUAAACAUACCACGAUUGACUUCGGCGGGCCCGUCCUCUCGAGGCACCGCCGGGAGGGCUUCCACCUCUCUGGCCCGUUGCCCGCCGGUGGCCAAACCACAAAACUCUUGAUAAACACUGUCGUCUGAGUUACAUUUAUUUAAUUAAAAAAUAAAA
rnacentral:misc_RNA from 1 species